AGCGAACGCUGGCGGCAGGCCUAACACAUGCAAGUCGAACGAACUCUUCGGAGUUAGUGGCGGACGGGUGAGUAACACGUGGGAACGUGCCUUUAGGUUCGGAAUAACUCAGGGAAACUUGUGCUAAUACCGAAUGUGCCCUUCGGGGGAAAGAUUUAUCGCCUUUAGAGCGGCCCGCGUCUGAUUAGCUAGUUGGUGAGGUAAAGGCUCACCAAGGGGACGAUCAGUAGCUGGUCUGAGAGGAUGAUCAGCCACAUUGGGACUGAGACACGGCCCAAACUCCUACGGGAGGCAGCAGUGGGGAAUCUUGCGCAAUGGGCGAAAGCCUGACGCAGCCAUGCCGGGUGAAUGAUGAAGGUCUUAGGAUUGUAAAAUUCUUUCACCGGGGACGAUAAUGACGGUACCCGGAGAAGAAGCCCCGGCUAACUUCGUG
rnacentral:rRNA from 1 species